rnacentral:rRNA from 1 species
CCUACGGGAGGCAGCAGUGAGGAAUAUUGGUCAAUGGCCGGAAGGCUAAACCAGCCAAGCCGCGUGAAGGACGAAGGUGCCAAGCAUUGUAAACUUCUUUUGUCAAGGGACAAAAUCAGGCUCGAGAGCCUGACCGAGGGUACUUGAAGAAAAAGCAUCGGCAAACUCCGUGCCAGCAGCCGCGGUAAUACGGAGGAUGCGAGCGUUAGCCGGUUUUAUUGGGUUUAAAGGGUGCGUAGGCGGACUGUUAAGUCAGCGGUAAAAGCCCGGGGCUCAACCCCGGCGAGCCGUUGAAACUGGCUGUCUUGAGAUGUCGAGAGGUAUGCGGAAUGCGCAGUGUAGCGGUGAAAUGCUUAGAUAUUGCGCAGAACUCCGAUUGCGAAGGCAGCAUACCGGCGGCGAUCUGACGCUGAGGCACGAAAGCGUGGGUAUCGAACAGGAUUAGAUACCCGGGUAGUC